rnacentral:rRNA from 1 species
UACGGGGAGGCAGCAUGGGGAAUAUUGCACAAUGGGGGAAACCCUGAUGCAGCCAUGCCGCGUGUGUGAAGAAGGCCUUCGGGGUUGUAAAGCACUUUCAGUAGGGAGGAAGGUAGUGUAGUUAACACCUGCAUUAUUUGACGUUACCUACAGAAGAAGCACCGGCUAACUCCGUGCCAGCAGCCGCGGUAAUACGGAGGGUGCGAGCGUUAAUCGGAAUUACUGGGCGUAAAGCGCAUGCAGGCGGCCUGUUAAGUCAGAUGUGAAAGCCCGGGGCUUAACCUCGGAAUUGCAUUUGAAACUGGCAGGCUAGAGUCUUGUAGAGGGGGGUAGGAAUUUCAGGUGUAGCGGUGAAAUGCGUAGAGAUCUGAAGGAAUACCAGUGGCGAAGGCGGCCCCCCUGGACAAAGACUGACGCUCAGAUGCGAAAGCGUGGGGAGCAAACAGGAUUAGAUACCCCUGGUAG